rnacentral:rRNA from 1 species
GUGGGGAAUCUUGCACAAUGGGGGAAACCCUGAUGCAGCGACGCCGCGUGAGCGAUGAAGCCCUUCGGGGUGUAAAGCUCUUUCGGCAGGGAAGACUUUGACGGUACCUGCAGAAGCAGCUGCGGCUAACUACGUGCCAGCAGCCGCGGUAAUACGUAGGCAGCAAGCGUUGUUCGGAGUUACUGGGCGUAAAGGGUGCGUAGGCGGUUCUCUAAGUUUGGUGUGAAAUCUCCCGGCUCAACUGGGAGGGUGCGCCGAAAACUGGAGAGCUAGAGUGUGGGAGAGGAGAGUGGAAUUCCUGGUGUAGCGGUGAAAUGCGUAGAUAUCAGGAGGAACACCGGUGGUGUAGACGGCUCUCUGGACCAUUACUGACGCUGAGGCACGAAAGCGUGGGUAGCAAACAGGAUUAGAUACCCUUGUAGUCC